UGACCUCAAAUCGGGUGAGACUACCCGCUGAACUUAAGCAUAUCAAUAAGCGGAGGAAAAGAAACUAACAAGGAUUCCCCUAGUAACUGCGAGUGAAGCGGGAAAAGCUCAAAUUUAAAAUCUGGUGGCCUUUGGUCAUCCGAGUUGUAAUUUAGAGAAGCGUCUUCCGCGCUGGACCGUGCACAAGUCUCCUGGAAUGGAGCGUCAUAGAGGGUGAGAAUCCCGUCUUUGGCACGGAUCCCGGUGCUUCUGUGAUGCGCUCUCGAAGAGUCGAGUUGUUUGGGAAUGCAGCUCAAAAUGGGUGGUGAACUCCAUCUAAAGCUAAAUAUUGGCGAGAGACCGAUAGCGAACAAGUACCGUGAGGGAAAGAUGAAAAGCACUUUGGAAAGAGAGUGAAACAGUACGUGAAAUUGUUGAAAGGGAAACGCUUGAAGUCAGUCGCGUCGUCCGAGACUCAGCCUCGCCUCGGCUUGGUGUACUUCUCGACCGACGGGUCAGCAUCAAUUUCACCCCUUGGAUAAUGGCGAGGGAAAUGUGGCACCUUUGCGGGUGCGUUAUAGUCCCUCGUCGCAUGCAAGGGUCGGGAUUGAGGAACUCAGCACGCGCCUUUUGGUGUCGGGGCUUUUGCCCACGAUACGUGC
rnacentral:rRNA from 2 species